rnacentral:tRNA from 1 species
CAGAUUAUAGCUUAUAUAAAAAGUUUAUUAUUUACAUUAAUAAGAAAAUAUUAUUAUUUUAUCUGA